CCCUAUGAGGCCGAGCUUAUUUUUUCUCUCUAAAUGCUGCAUGACUAUUUUCCUGAAAAGGUCUAUGAGAAACAUAUUGUACCUAUAACUGUUUUUAAUAGCUGCUGUAUGUCUGAAUCUGAGGACCUCAUGGGCCAGGACCAGCACAUAAGAAAUCAAGAGGUCAUUGGGAUAUACGUAACCAGACUGGCAGAGCACUUAAAGAAAAGAAUUUCUUUGGAAGUGUUAAUUUUCUGCUUCUCUGCAGGUUUCCAAGUACAUUGUCAUGCCCAUAUGAAGGAUGCACAGCUUUCUUCCCGCUUUCCGUCAUUCGUGAUCUGUUUGCCUGCAUGAUAGGGAAGAUCAACAGGUCUCAGUUAUCCCCCUGCCCUGUCUUCUAGCAGAGGGAGAAGUGGACAUGUUCUUUCUACCCUUGAUCCUGCCCUUGUGUUUGAGCCUUCAGUAGCUGCUGCAGUGGUAAGAGCAAAGCACUGUAAAGACUUUUCUGUCGUAGCGUCUUGAUAAGUAUUACCUAUCAAUUGUCUUUUGAAUUAUCUGUGUGUCCUCUAUUCUCCAUGUUCAGUGCAAUGCUUAGCCAAGCUGCUGAUUUUAAAUACUCAAAACUCGUGAGUCAGGCCCUUCAGUCACAUUAUAAGAUUAAGGCAAG
rnacentral:lncRNA from 1 species